UCACCGUUGUUGGUGUCCUGAGUGGCGCCGAGGCAUUUCUAAUUGGGCGCAUUGCCUUUCCUGCGGGCGCCCUUCACACCGGGCAGCGGAGCAGAGACAACGGGAUCGGCACCAGCCAGUGUCGCAACAGAGGGGGUGCGCAUCGGCCGUUUCUUGUGUUGUGGCGUUCUUUUCCCGUUGCAUCUUUUCCCCCUUUUUUCUCGACCAUGCGCGUCUCGCCCAACUCACUGAGCGAGGCCGCCUCGCAACUGGAGCAGGAUAGAGAACGUGACUUUUUUCGGCUUCUCUACAUCGUCGACCGAGCGCGUCGGUUUCUCUCCAUCCCGGUGGGCAACGUCGAUUGGAGGCUGACGUGCGACUGCCUGGACGACAUGAAUCACCGAUAUGCAGACACCGGCUUUCUUCUCGGCUUCACGGGUGGCUAUGUGCUGCGCAACCGAGCCGGUCGCACGCUGUUGUCUCGCUUCUGGUUCUCGAUGUACUUGGGUCUUGUCUUCUAUGACUGGGAACUGCGGCGAGCCACUCGUGCGCCGGCGCUGGAGUACUGGAACUCUAUCUGCACUGUGGACACGGAGGUGGGUCGUAUCGCUCGAGUGCUGCACACCCCCGCCCGGUUUUACGAAGCGGCACCGAUGAGCACUGCAUUCAGUGGCGUGCCGCCGCCGCUGCCACGAGGGUCCUCCUCCUCUCCCUCCCCGGCUCCCCACGGAGCCUCGGUGCGCGACUGGCUCUGGCGCUACAUCUCAGAUACGAUGUCUUCGGUGCUCCUGACGACGUUAUGCUCGCAUCUCUUCGAAGGCUCCAGCUGGCGGCACCGCACGAGCGACAACGUGGAGGUGACGGCGCUUGUGAUCAACAGCCGCUUCUUUCACUGGAAGGUGUUUGAGUCAUGCCAGGUGCAGCGGAAUGAGAUGACGGAGUACAACAUUAGCUUAAAGUGGUUCCCGAGCUUUGCAGCGAGCGACAGCCUUCGCCGCUCCUUUCAAUGCCGCGAACUCAUCCUGGAGAGGUCUACGCUGGGGGGGCGGCUGUGGUACAGGACACAUUUUUCGUUGCUGCGGUGUCUGGGAUUGGACUCGCAGUAGCGUCUUCACAGAUCGCGGACGUGCAGAGCAUGCAGAGAAAGGCUGCAAGCUCACACAACUGAAAUGCUUUAUUCCAUGAGCCGCAGUCUCGUAACGAACCCCAAAACGCAUUAAGGGAAAAGGAGAAAACACCCGCGACGACGACGACGCGAAGGGUGCUUAAAGCGUUGCGUUCCAAGUGGUGGAGGCUGGCUUUCGAUGGCUAUCGGCCGAGUGCGUUUUCAAGCUGGUACGGAAGCUUCCCAUCGAUACGCAAAGUUCUCCCCCCCCCUCACUCUCACACUACCACUGCUGAGGCAUAAAAGCG
rnacentral:misc_RNA from 1 species